rnacentral:rRNA from 1 species
AACGAACGCUGGCGGCAGGCUUAACACAUGCAAGUCGAGCGCCCCGCAAGGGGAGCGGCAGACGGGUGAGUAACGCGUGGGAAUCUACCCAUCUCUACGGUAUAACGCAUGGAAGCGUGUGCUAAUACCGUAUACGUCCUUCGGGAGAAAGAUUUAUCGGAGAUGGAUGAGCCCGCGUUGGAUUAGCUAGUUGGUGGGGUAAAGGCCUACCAAGGCGACGAUCCAUAGCUGGUCUGAGAGGAUGAUCAGCCACACUGGGACUGAGACACGGCCCAGACUCCUACGGGAGGCAGCAGUGGGGAAUAUUGGACAAUGGGCGCAAGCCUGAUCCAGCCAUGCCGCGUGAGUGAUGAAGGCCCUAGGGUUGUAAAGCUCUUUCACCGGUGAAGAUAAUGACGGUAACCGGAGAAGAAGCCCCGGCUAACUUCGUGCCAGCAGCCGCCGUAAGAC